AUCGCUCUUCGUCUUUCUGAGCUUAGAUCACAUGUAGUAUCUGUUCUUUGCAGUGUAAUUUUUGCAACGGUCUCUAAACUGAGAUCAAUGAAGUUACCCGUAUUUUUCACCUCCGGACGGGUGCCUUGAGCUUGCUCAACUCCGUCCAUGCGUCAGCCUCGUAUUUCAUCGCACUAACU
rfam:Schistosoma margrebowiei strain Zambia genome assembly, scaffold: SMRZ_scaffold0000989